AGGAUAAUAGUUAAAAAAUAACGUUUAAUUUGCACUUAAAAAUCAUUGAAAUUCAAUUUAUCUUAA
rnacentral:tRNA from 1 species